rnacentral:lncRNA from 1 species
GAGGAAAGUGUCAAAGAUGGAAGAAAAUAUCAGCUUGAACUCCCACAACAUGAUGAGUCAUUUGGAGCUGGUUAUUUCCUGGUGAAUAGCAAGAAGCAAGCAAAAAUUAUCAUUUGAAUAAAACAACCUGUCAGGGACUCCACAGAUGACAUCACCUCCGAAACCAUGUAUUCUCUAUUGGAUUGUAUAUUAAGAAAGCAUCAUGGCCUGGCAGAGUAGC